rnacentral:rRNA from 1 species
GACGAACGCUGGCGGCGUGCCUAAUACAUGCAAGUAGAACGCACAGUUUAUACCGUAGCUUGCUACACCAUAGACUGUGAGUUGCGAACGGGUGAGUAACGCGUAGGUAACCUGCCUGGUAGCGGGGGAUAACUAUUGGAAACGAUAGCUAAUACCGCAUAAUAUUAAUUAUUGCAUGAUAAUUAAUUGAAAGGUGCAAUUGCACCACUACCAGAUGGACCUGCGUUGUAUUAGCUAGUAGGUGAGGUAACGGCUCACCUAGGCGACGAUACAUAGCCGACCUGAGAGGGUGAUCGGCCACACUGGGACUGAGACACGGCCCAGACUCCUACGGGAGGCAGCAGUAGGGAAUCUUCGGCAAUGGACGAAAGUCUGACUGAGCAACGCCGCGUGAGUGAAGAAGGGUUUCGGAUCGUAAAGCUCUGUUGUAAGAGAAGAACGGGUGUGAGAGUGGAAAGUUCACACUGUGACGGUAUCUUACCAGAAAGGGACGGCUAACUACGUG